GCCUCUCCAGGUAGCUCAGUCGGUAGAGCAUGAGACUCUUAAUCUCAGGAUUGUGGGUUUGAGCCCCAUGUUGGGCA